rnacentral:rRNA from 1 species
UACGUAGGGGGCAAGCGUUGUCCGGAUUUAUUGGGCGUAAAGAGCGUGUAGGCGGCCAUACAGGUCAGCUGUGAAAACUCGAGGCUCAACCUCGAGACGUCGGUUGAAACCGUAUGGCUAGAGUCCGGAAGAGGAGAGUGGAAUUCCCGGUGUAGCGGUGAAAUGCGCACAUAUCGGGAAGAACACCUAUGGCGAAGGCAGCUCUCUGGGACGGUACUGACGCUGAGACGCGAAAGCGUGGGGAGCGAACAGG